rnacentral:rRNA from 1 species
GCAGCAGCCGCGGGAAUACAGAGGGUGCGAGCGUUAAUCGGAUUUACUGGGCGUAAAGCGUGCGUAUGCGGCUUCUUAAGUCGGAUGUGAAAUCCCUGAGCUUAACUUAGGAAUUGCAUUCGAUACUGGGAAGCUAGAGUAUGGGAGAGGAUGGUAGAAUUCCAGGUGUAGCGGUGAAAUGCGUAGAUAUCUGGAGGAAUACCGAUGGCGAAGGCAGCCAUCUGGCCUAAUACUGACGCUGAGGUACGAAAGCAUGGGGAGCAAACAGGAUUAGAUACCCCCGUAGUCCCUGUCUCUUAUAC